CACGUAGGGGGCAAGCGUUGUCCGGAUUUAUUGGGCGUAAAGAGCUCGUAGGCUGUUCGGUAAGUCGGGUGUGAAACCCCCAGGCUCAACCUGGAGACGCCACCUGAUACUGCUGUGGCUAGAGUCCGGUAGGGGAGCGUGGAAUUCCCGGUGUAGCGGUGAAAUGCGCAGAUAUCAGGAAGAACACCCGUGGCGAAGGCGGCUCUCUGGGACGGUACUGACGCUGAGACGCGAAAGCGUGGGGAGCAAACAGG
rnacentral:rRNA from 1 species